UUUUAUUUGAGAGUUUGAUCCUGGCUCAGGAUGAACGCUGGCGGCGUGCCUAACACAUGCAAGUUGAGCGAUUUACUUCGGUAAAGAGCGGCGGACGGGUGAGUAACGCGUGGGUAACCUACCCUGUACACACGGAUAACAUACCGAAAGGUAUGCUAAUACGGGAUAAUAUAUUUGAGAGGCAUCUCUUGAAUAUCAAAGGUGAGCCAGUACAGGAUGGACCCGCGUCUGAUUAGCUAGUUGGUAAGGUAACGGCUUACCAAGGCGACGAUCAGUAGCCGACCUGAGAGGGUGAUCG
rnacentral:rRNA from 1 species